UCCCUUCUCUACCUUCAAACCCCUAAACUAUAGUCCGCAGGCGCUAGCCACCCACUCGUUUAGUGGCAGAAAGUUUUUGAUUUUGAGACUUUACCAUCUGACCAGAUUCUCUCCGCAAACAUUACCAACACAUCUAAGAAUUUGGAAGCCCAUUUUGAAGAAUGCUAGCACUGUAGCAGAGAAGUUCUCCAUGGAAGUCACACAAGAUCUAUGUUUAUUUGUACUCCCUCAAAUAGCAGCAUAAUUAGGUGGGAUAAUAAAUUUGUGCUGUCCUACUAGGCAAGAAGCAAAGGCAACCAUGAGAUUUCAAAGGGUGAUUGGAGAUGAUAAUUUAAAUGGAAGUUUUAGCUAGAUGACAUGACUAACAAUUCCUAUUAAGAAG